rnacentral:tRNA from 3 species
GCUCACGUAGCUCAGUAGGUAGAGCGUCGCCUUGGUAAGGCGGAGGUUGUCGGUUCAAUCCCGAUCGCGAGCUCCA